AACGCUGUGAUGAGGUUACCCUAAUGUUGUUUAGCAGUGGUGAAUUUUUUUCCAUGAGCCUUCACAAAAAAUGACUUCUUCUUCCACAGAGUGUU
rnacentral:snoRNA from 1 species